rnacentral:rRNA from 1 species
AGCGAACGCUGGCGGCAGGCCUAACACAUGCAAGUCGAACGAACCUUUCGGGGUUAGUGGCGGACGGGUGAGUAACACGUGGGAACGUGCCUUUAGGUUCGGAAUAACUCAGGGAAACUUGUGCUAAUACCGAAUGUGCCCUUCGGGGGAAAGAUUAAUCGCCUUUAGAGCGGCCCGCGUCUGAUUAGCUAGUUGGUUGAGGUAAUGGCUCACCAAGGCGACGAUCAGUAGCUGGUCUGAGAGGAUGAUCAGCCACAUUGGGACUGAGACACGGCCCAAACUCCUACGGGAGGCAGCAGUGGGGAAUCUUGCGCAAUGGGCGAAAGCCUGACGCAGCCAUGCCGCGUGAAUGAUGAAGGUCUUAGGAUUGUAAAAUUCUUUCACCGGGGACGAUAAUGACGGUACCCGGAGAAGAAGCCCUGGCUAACUUCGUG